GUGUCGCUAGUGUAGUUGGUUAUCACGUCCGCUUAACACGCGGGAGGUCUCCGGUUCAAUUCCGGAGCGACACA